rnacentral:rRNA from 1 species
UACAGAGGUCUCAAGCGUUGUUCGGAUUCAUUGGGCGUAAAGGGUGCGUAGGCGGCGCGGUAAGUCGGGUGUGAAAUCUCGGGGCUUAACUCCGAAACUGCAUUCGAUACUGCCGUGCUUGAGGACUGGAGAGGAGACUGGAAUUUACGGUGUAGCGGUGAAAUGCGCAGAUAUCAGGAGGAACACCGAUGGCGAAGGCAGGUCUCUGGGCAUUAACUGACGCUGAGGAGCGAAAGCAUGGGGAGCGAACAGG